GACGUAGGGCGCGAGCGUUGUCCGGAAUCAUUGGGCGUAAAGCGCGCGUAGGCGGCCCUGUAAGUCCGUUGUGAAAGUCAAAGGCUCAACCUUUGAAAGCCGAUGGAUACUGCAGGGCUAGAGUCCGGAAGAGGCGAGUGGAAUUCCUGGUGUAGCGGUGGAAUGCGCAGAUAUCAGGAGGAACACCAAUAGCGAAGGCAGCUCGCUGGGACGGUACUGACGCUAAGGCGCGAAAGCGUGGGGAGCGAACAGG
rnacentral:rRNA from 1 species